rnacentral:rRNA from 1 species
UACGUAGGUGGCAAGCGUUAUCCGGAAUUAUUGGGCGUAAAGCGCGCGUAGGCGGUAGAAUAAGUCUGAUGUGAAAGCCCCUGGCUCAACCAGGGAGGGUCAUUGGAAACUGUUUUACUUGAGUACAGAAGAGGAGAGUGGAAUUCCAUGUGUAGCGGUGAAAUGCGCAGAGAUAUGGAGGAACACCAGUGGCGAAGGCGGCUCUCUGGUCUGUAACUGACACUGAGGUGCGAAAGCGUGGGGAUCAAACAGGAUUAGAUA